GGAGUGGUACUCAAGCGGCUGAAGAGGAUGGUUUGCUAAACCAUUAGCAGGGGUAACCCUGGCCCGGGUUCAAAUCCCGGCCACUCCGCCA
rnacentral:tRNA from 1 species